rnacentral:tRNA from 1 species
UCCCCGGUAGCUCAGUUGGCAGAGCACCCGCCUGUUAAGCGGAUGGUCGCACGUUCGAGCCGUGCCCGGGGAG